CCGGAGCUUGCUCCACCGGAAAAAGAGGAGUGGCGAACGGGUGAGUAACACGUGGGUAACCUGCCCAUCAGAAGGGGAUAACACUUGGAAACAGGUGCUAAUACCGUAUAACAAUCAAAACCGCAUGGUUUUGAUUUGAAAGGCGCUUUCGGGUGUCGCUGAUGGAUGGACCCGCGGUGCAUUAGCUAGUUGGUGAGGUAACGGCUCACCAAGGCCACGAUGCAUAGCCGACCUGAGAGGGUGAUCGGCCACAUUGGGACUGAGACACGGCCCAAACUCCUACGGGAGGCAGCAGUAGGGAAUCUUCGGCAAUGGACGAAAGUCUGACCGAGCAACGCCGCGUGAGUGAAGAAGGUUUUCGGAUCGUAAAACUCUGUUGUUAGAGAAGAACAAGGAUGAGAGUAACUGUUCAUCCCUUGACGGUAUCUAACCAGAAAGCCACGGCUAACUACGUGCCAGCAGCCGCGGUAAUACGUAGGUGGCAAGCGUUGUCCGGAUUUAUUGGGCGUAAAGCGAGCGCAGGCGGUUUCUUAAGUCUGAUGUGAAAGCCCCCGGCUCAACCGGGGAGGGUCAUUGGAAACUGGGAGACUUGAGUGCAGAAGAGGAGAGUGGAAUUCCAUGUGUAGCGGUGAAAUGCGUAGAUAUAUGGAGGAACACCAGUGGCGAAGGCGGCUCUCUGGUCUGUAACUGACGCUGAGGCUCGAAAGCGUGGGGAGCAAACAGGAUUAGAUACCCUGGUAGUCCACGCCGUAAACGAUGAGUGCUAAGUGUUGGAGGGUUUCCGCCCUUCAGUGCUGCAGCUAACGCAUUAAGCACUCCGCCUGGGGAGUACGACCGCAAGGUUGAAACUCAAAGGAAUUGACGGGGGCCCGCACAAGCGGUGGAGCAUGUGGUUUAAUUCGAAGCAACGCGAAGAACCUUACCAGGUCUUGACAUCCUUUGACCAC
rnacentral:rRNA from 1 species